AACGAACGCUGGCGGCAGGCUUAACACAUGCAAGUCGAGCGCCCCGCAAGGGGAGCGGCAGACGGGUGAGUAACGCGUGGGAAUCUACCCAGCUCUACGGAAUAACUCAGGGAAACUUGUGCUAAUACCGUAUACGUCCUCCGGGAGAAAGAUUUAUCGGAGCUGGAUGAGCCCGCGUUGGAUUAGCUAGUUGGUGGGGUAAUGGCCCACCAAGGCGACGAUCCAUAGCUGGUCUGAGAGGAUGAUCAGCCACAUUGGGACUGAGACACGGCCCAAACUCCUACGGGAGGCAGCAGUGGGGAAUAUUGGACAAUGGGCGAAAGCCUGAUCCAGCCAUGCCGCGUGGGUGAUGGAGGCCCUAGGGUUGUAAGGCUCUUUCACCGGUGAAGAUAAUGACGGUAACCGGAGAAGAAGCCCCGGCUAACUUCGUGCCAGCCGCCGCGGUAA
rnacentral:rRNA from 1 species